rnacentral:sRNA from 1 species
AUGAGUCUCCCCGGCGCCCCGUGGCCGAAGAGCUAGGUGUACCAUGCAAUCCCCGCCCGGCUGGCCCCCGGCGACCGACGCCCCGCGGCCCUCGCCCUUCCCGCCCCCGGCGCUGCCCGCCCUCCACGGCUUGGCCCGCGCGCUGCUGUUCCCGGCCUACUGGGCCCUGGACCAGCUGCAGGGUGGCUGAGGAGGGCGGCGGGCGGCGGCGCGGCGCUGCUGCUGCUGCUGGUGGUCGGCCCGCCCCUGGCGCUGCCCGGCCUGCCGCUCUGGCUGGUGCCGCAGGUUUGGCGCCGCCCCUUCUGCUACCGCUCCCCUCCGCUGUGCUGGGCGCCGCCCGCGCUCUGGCGCCCGCCUGCCGAACCCAGGCGCUGCUUCGUCUUCCUCACCGCCAAUCUGUGCCUGCUCCCCGACGGGCAAGCGCGCUUCGGCAACCUACCGCACAGCCAGCGACCGGCCGAGGCCAUUGGCGCCGCGCUGCUGGGCGGCGCGCGGCCCGCGCUCUACAGGGCUACGGACUGCAGCCAGCCGUGGCCCAGGGCGCUGCGCGGGACGCUGGUGGCCUCGCUGCCCGUGGGUCUGGACUUUGUGUGCCUGCAGGAGGUAUUCGAUCUGCGCAGGGCUCGUCGCUUGGUGAAUCGCCUGGCGCCCAACCUGGGCCCGUUGCUGUACGACGUGGGCACGCUCGGCCUACAGCCCGGGCGGCACCUCAAGCUGCUGGACAGCGGGCUGCUGCUGGCCUCGCGCUACCCGCUGCUGCGCGCCACCUUCCGUUGCUUCCCCCACGCACGUGGCGAGGACGCGCUGGCCUCCAAGGGACUACCGUCCGCACAGGCGAGGCUGGGCAGCCUGGACGGGCGCCGCAUCGUGGGAUUCCUGCACUGCACGCAUUUGCAAGUACUGGCUGAUCAGGAACUGCGGAGACGGGAGCUGACUGUCCAGGAUGCGGUUCCGAAUCUGGAGCCAAGCCCACCCCACCCCCCCUCCCCCACGCAGAGGACGGGCCCUUGCGCAGCAAACAGCUGACGCCGCUGCUGGACUGGGCCGAGAAGUUUGGGGCCGAGAAGUUUGAGGCCGACAGAGAACAAAGUGGAGAGGUCGUGGCUUUCAGCGUGCUCCUGGGCGACCUAAACUUCGAUAACUGCUCGAAAGGUCCAGCAGGAGAGGAGGGCGAGGAGGGGCGGAGCCAGGAGGCCCGGCCCCGCCCACCGCGCGCCCGCCUCUCUCUGCAGACCACCGGCUGGAGCAGGAGCACGAGCUUUUCCGCUGUUUCCAGGAUCCCUGCCGGCUGGGCACGCGCCAAAAGCAGCCCUGGGCCCUGGGGACCGCGCUGAGCACCUCCGUGCUCCACCAGUCCGUGGCCUCCUCCCCCAAGAUGCCGAGGAGGACCCUGGAGCAGGAGAAAGGGCGCCACCUCUACCUGGCCGGCCUUCCCGGCAGAAGCCGCCGAGCUAAGCCCUGGAGAGGAGGUGGAGCAGGUGACGUUCAGUACCGCCCUGGAGGGGCUCACGGACCACCUGGCAGUGGGCCUGCAGCUCCGAGUUUCAGUGUCCUCC